AGUACAUGCAACCUUGGCUGGAAAUUCUAAGUUUGCACACACACAAACUGUAUGGAUUCGGACAAAAGUGUCACGUGUCAUGAGCAUUGGGCCAUGACUGAUCAGAAGUUAUUUUGUUCACACAGCAUAACCCAGAAGCCCAGAAAAAUAAAAUAAGUUCAACAAUAACAAUUAUUUCCAAAGUGAUGCA